AAACAGAAAAGUUUUACACACUGCUUAUGAUUACAGUAAAAUGUGUCUAUGUAUUAGUAAAACACAUAUGCCACAGUGAGUUCUUAAAAAUAAAGACAGCCAAGAUGGGCCAUUGUUAAGAUAAUGGAAUAUUUAUACGUUUAAAUCCUAUACGCUAAAACAUAAGAUGUCUGGAAUACUGUUAAAAGGAUGGUGGAUGGGGAAGGAGGGGUUGGUUCCAUCUGGGGAAGGGGGUAAGGGAGGGAGGGAGAGGAGAAUGAGAAAUUCCAACCCUCUGGGUUUUGUCAUCAAAUUGCAGUGAGGGGCUGGGCGCGGUGGUUCACGCCUGUAAUCCCAGCACUUUGGGAGGCCAAGGCGGGUGGAUCACUUGAGCUCAGGAGUUCCACACAAGCCUGGCCAACAUAGUGAAAUCCCGUCUCUACUAAAAAUACAAAAAAUUAGGCGGGCAUGGUGGCAGUAGCCUGUAAUCCCAGCUACUCAGGAGGCUAUGGCAGGAGAAUCACUUGAACCUGGUGGUUGGAGGUUGCAGUGAGCCGAGAUCGCGCCACUGCACUCCAGCCUGGGCAACAGAGUGAGACUUUGUCUUAAAUAAAUAAACAAACAGAUAGCAGUAAGGAUGACCUGAAUUAGUUCAUGUUGAAUUUUUAACUGAUGAGGGGAAAGAUGAUGUUGCUCACAGUUUUGCUACUUGACAGUACUUUCUCUACUUAAAAGAACAGCAUAUUUUAGUAAUAUAAUGUAUGCUUUCCAGUCUUUCUAACUGAAUACCCAAAUUAUAGUCCAGAUACAAAACCAUUCGUUUUCACAAAUGAGCCAUCGACUUCAAAACUAUAUUUAAAUUUCAGUUAUACAUUUUUCUGAAUAUUAAAUCAAUGUAUUUAUCUAUAACACAUUUUUCCAAAACAAUCUGAAAUUAUGCAAGUUCACCUGAAGAGUUUCUCAUGGAUAACACUGAAAACUGUUUAAACGGGCAAAAAGUGUCACAAAUAAACUUUUCAAAAACUUUAAUUACAUAUACUCCUGCGAGCUGUAGACUAGCAUUUGAAACAAACACGGACUGAGCUAACAGGCUUUUACAUUUACUUCUAAGCCAAGCGCAAGAUAAAAAUAUGCAGGACUUGUGGUAGGUUCUCGAUACCAUGUUAUUCAUUUACCGCUAGCCAGAUCUCCCAAAAGUAGCAACGGCUGUUUCUAAAAACCUCAUAGAUGGUCAAACGAAAAGACGUGCAAAAAAUCCUGAUGGCUGCCAAGGGGAUGGCAAAACCGCAGAGGCUACGUGCUCCCCACCAUCGGAGUAGCUGCCCUCGGAGCUGACAGCGCAAACGCCGUUUACAACCCCGGCUCACUGCCAGGCGGCGGGUGAGCUCGGCUUCCCUCUCACUCCGCUCCGGAGGAGACGGAACACAGAAAAGAACAGGAUCUUCCUUGUUCGUGAAGGUCCUCCGCUUUCUCCUAGACGACGGGAUUUAGUACCGCCUGGGGCCAAACACCAGCUUGGGCAGCAAAACAAAGGCGCCUCCAUUCCAGAAGAGCUGCCGGGCUGCAAGAAAACUACUCUGGGCCCUCAGUGCGCCGGUCCCCUUUGUUUCGUGUCCCGGUCGCAGAGGAGAAGGAAGAGGGAAGACUGCGCGGGAGAGACGCAGGCAGCGGGAGUUUGCUCUGUCGCCCAGGAUGGAGUGCAGUGCAGUGGCGCGAUCCUGCAACCUCCGCCUCUCGAGUUCAAGCGAUUCUCCUGCCUCAGCCUCCCGAGUAGCUGGGAUUACAGACGCGCGCCACCCCACCCAGAUGAUCUUUUUAAAUGCAAAAUGCCAUCGACGCAGAAAAUCAAAGAAUCAGCUUAAGUUCCAGAAAAAAGAAAAACCAACCAAAUGAACAAUAAGACAACAACAACAACAACAAAAAAGGCCUUUUGGGAUUUUGGAUGAUAUUGCAUCAAAUCCAUACAUUAACCUGAGAGACGAGCGACUUCUUCAACAUUGAGCCUUCCAAUCAUGAUUUUCAAUUCAUUUAGGUCUUCUGUAAUGUUUCUUAAUAUAAUUGUAUUUGUUGCUAUGCAGAAGUUUCACUGAUCUUUUAUUAUAUCUCUAUAUAUAUUUGAUAUUUCUGACACUAUUGUAAAUAGUAUCUUUUUAAUAUUUCAUUUUCCUUUUUUGUUGCUUAAAUAUAUAUAAAAUAAGCUAAUUUUCCAAACUAAUUUUUAUAUCCAGCAACCCUGCUAAAAUUUCUUAUCCAAU
rnacentral:lncRNA from 1 species